rnacentral:ncRNA from 1 species
GUUUGGUCCCAGCCUUGAAAUCAGUUUUUACUUAAUAUACACAUGCAAGUCUCCGCACCCCAGUGAGAACGCCCUUAAUUUCCCCAAUUGGAAACAGGAGCUGGUAUCAGGCCCAUUCAGCCCACAACACCUAGUCUCGCCACACCCCCAAGGGUCUUCAGCAGUGAUAAACAUUGAGUAUAAGCGACAGCUUGACUCAGUUAAACUAUUUAGAGCCGGCUAAUCUGGUGCCAGCCGCCGCGGUUACACCACUGUGGCUCAAAUUGAUUUCUAUCGGCGUAAAGCGUGAUUAAAGAGCCCAUAUAUACCUGGAAUCCAACUAAAACUAAGCUGUGACACGCUUGUUACCCGAGAAGCCCCCAAACGAAAGUUAUUCCAAUUUUAUCUACUUGAAUUCACGUCAACUGAGGUACAAACUGGGAUUAGAUACCCCACUAUGCUCAGUCGUAAACUUUUAAUUACUCCACCCCCUCGCCUGGGAACUACGAGCCAAGCUUAAAACCCAAAGGACUUGACGGUACCCCAUAUCCACCUAGAGGAGCCUGUCCUAUAAUCGAUAACCCCCGUUUAACCUCACCAUUCCUAGUUUAUCAGCCUGUAUACCUCCGUCGUCAGCUUACCGCAUGAGCGUUAGUGUUAGUGGGCUCAAAGUUUUUUCAACUAUACGUCAGGUCAAGGUGCAACAUAUGGAAUGGAAAGAGAUGGGCUACACUUUCUACUAUUAGACCACACGAAAAACUACUUAUGAAACCUAGUUAGAAGGCGGAUUUAGAAGUAAAUAGGAACUAGAGAGUCCUUUUUAACCUGGCACUGGGGUGUGUACACACCGCCCGUCACCCUCCUCAAUGCUAUCACAAAGUCAUUAACACUUCACAGCUGCUCAGAAGAGGCAAGUCGUAACAUGGUAAGCGUACCGGAAGGUGUGCUUGGAAA